rnacentral:rRNA from 1 species
AGAGUUUGAUCCUGGCUCAGAACGAACGCUGGCGGCGUGCCUAACACAUGCAAGUCGAACGCGAAAGGGGGCAACCCCCGGUAGCGUGGCAGACGGGUGAGUAACACGUGGGUAACCUACCCCGAGGUGGGGGAUAACCCUCCGAAAGGAGGGCUAAUACCGCAUGACACCUGGAGGUCCCUGGACUUCCAAAUCAAAGCUAGCCUCUGCUUGCAAGCUAGCGCCACGGGAGGGGCCCGCGCCCCAUUAGCUAGUUGGUGAGGUAACGGCUCACCAAGGCCACGAUGGGUAGCCGGCCUGAGAGGGCGAUCGGCCACACUGGAACUGAGACACGGUCCAGACUCCUACGGGAGGCAGCAGUGAGGAAUAUUGCGCAAUGGGCGAAAGCCUGACGCAGCGACGCCGCGUGGAGGACGAAGGUCUUCGGAUCGUAAACUCCUGUCGAGCGGGACGAAGCCGGGACGGUGAACAGCCGUUUCGGUUGACGGUACCGCUAAAGGAAGCCCCGGCUAACUCCGUGCCAGCAGCCGCGGUAAUACGGAGGGGGCCAGCGUUGUUCGGAAUCAUUGGGCGUAAAGGGCGCGUAGGCGGCUUGGUAAGUCCGUUGUGAAAUCCCUCGGCUCAACCGAGGAACUGCGACGGAUACUGCUUGGCUUGAGUCCCGGAGAGGGUAGCGGAAUUCCCAGUGUAGCGGUGAAAUGCGUAGAUAUUGGGAGGAACAUCGGUGGCGAA